AGAUUGAACGCUGGCGGCAUGCCUAACACAUGCAAGUCGAACGGGAGUAGCAAUACUCUAGUGGCGGACGGGUGAGGAAUACGUAGGAAUUUGCCCUUAAGUGGGGGAUAACCCGGGGAAACCCGGAUUAAUACCGCAUGACCUCGAAAGAGCAAAGUGGGGGAUCGCAAGACCUCACGCUUUUGGAGAAGCCUACGUCGGAUUAGCUAGUUGGUGAGGUAAUGGCUCACCAAGGCGACGACUACCGUAACGUGUCGUGAGAG
rnacentral:rRNA from 1 species